rnacentral:rRNA from 1 species
AUUGAACGCUGGCGGCAUGCCUUACACAUGCAAGUCGAACGGUAACAGGUCUUCGGAUGCUGACGAGUGGCGAACGGGUGCGUAAUACAUCGGAACGUGCCCGAUCGUGGGGGAUAACGAAGCGAAAGCUUUGCUAAUACCGCAUACGAUCUACGGAUGAAAGCAGGGGACCGCAAGGCCUUGCGCGAACGGAGCGGCCGAUGGCAGAUUAGGUAGUUGGUGGGAUAAAAGCUUACCAAGCCGACGAUCUGUAGCUGGUCUGAGAGGACAACCAGCCACACUGGGACUGAGACACGGCCCAGACUCCUACGGGAGGCAGCAGUGGGGAAUUUUGGACAAUGGGCGAAAGCCUGAUCCAGUCAUGCCGCGUGCAGGAUGAAGGCCUUCGGGUUGUAAACUGCUUUUGUACGGAACGAAAAGACUCUGGUUAAUACCUGGGGUCCAUGACGGUACCGUAAGAAUAAGCACCGGCUAACUACGUG